AUGGAUAACAACAAAAACCAAACAUGUUCUUCUUCCAAUUCUUCAUCAACCGUGAAUUUCAAUCAACUUUUCAGUUCCAAGGACUCCACCACUGCUUCGUUUUCCUCCUUCUUUGACUCCCUUUUUCCACAACCAUCUGUUGAGGGGAAAGGAUCAAGAACUGAAGAAGUAGGAAGCAAAAGUCUUGAAGCACCAGGAACUCCUAAUAGUGACAUCUCUAACAAGAAUACUAAUAGUACCGAUUAUCAGAAUGAGACGGUGGAACCCACCUACUUCAGCUCUUCAAUCCACUAUGGUGGUUGUGAGGAUUAUUUCUCAGAAGGCAGUACAAUUGAACCCCGUCAUGUUGUGAGUAUUGUCAUUAUCAUCGCAUGUAAAUUAAAUUUUAUGUUAAGAAUAUUAUGCAAC